UCGUUAGCUCAGUUGGUAGAGCAGUUGACUUUUAAUCAAUUGGUCGCAGGUUCGAAUCCUGCA
rnacentral:tRNA from 1 species